rnacentral:rRNA from 1 species
GACGAACGCUGGCGGCGUGCUUAACACAUGCAAGUCGAACGGAAAGGCCCUGCUUUUGUGGGGUGCUCGAGUGGCGAACGGGUGAGUAACACGUGAGUAACCUGCCCUGGACUUUGGGAUAACUUCAGGAAACUGGGGCUAAUACCGGAUAGGAGCUCCUGCUGCAUGGUGGGGGUUGGAAAGUUUCGGCGGUUGGGGAUGGACUCGCGGCUUAUCAGCUUGUUGGUGGGGUAGUGGCUUACCAAGGCUUUGACGGGUAGCCGGCCUGAGAGGGUGACCGGCCACCUUGGGACUGAGGUACGGCCCAGACUCCUACGGGGGGCAGCAGUGGGGAGUAUUGCACAGUGGGCGGACGCCUGAUGCAGCAACGCCGCGUGCGGGAUGACGGCCUUCGGGUUGUAAACCGCUUUCGCCUGUGACGAAGCGUGAGUGACGGUAAUGGGUAAAGAAGCACCGGCUAACUACGUG